AAUGCCAGACCGUUUACAAGUUGUGUGGAAGA
rnacentral:piRNA from 1 species